rnacentral:rRNA from 1 species
GCUCAGCCUUAAACCCCGGCAUCUAUUAACGAAGCUGUUCGCCAGAGAACUACCAGCAAAAGCUAAAAACUCAAAGGACUUGGCGGUGCUUCACACCCACCUAGAGGAGCCUGUCCAAUAAUCGAUAAACCCCGAUAAACCUCACCACCAUUUGCCUGCCCAGUCUAUAUACCGCCAUCUUCAGCAAACCCUUAAAAGGAAGUAAAGUAAGCACAACAAUAUCCAUAAAAAAGUUAGGUCAAGGUGUAGCUAAUAUGGUGGACUUAGAUGGGCUACAUUCUUUACACAUAAAGCAAUACGAAUGUUACCAUGAAAUUAGUAACUGAAGGAGGAUUUAGCAGUAAAUUAAGAAUAGAGAGCUUAAUUGAAUCAGGCCAUGAAGCACGC